rnacentral:sRNA from 1 species
UCGUAACCUUGACGGAAACGUCAUCCUGUAUUUCCGGGGUUCGAAAUAUAGAUACAGUGAACAGCAGGAUUUUCU